UACGUAGGCAGCAAGCGUUGUUCGGAAUUAUUGGGCGUAAAGAGCUCGUAGGCGGUCUGUCGCGUCGGCUGUGAAAACCCGGGGCUCAACCCCGGGCCUGCGGUCGAUACGGGCAGACUAGAGUGUGGUAGGGGAGACUGGAAUUCCUGGUGUAGCGGUGAAAUGCGCAGAUAUCAGGAGGAACACCGAUGGCGAAGGCAGGUCUCUGGGCAUUAACUGACGCUGAGGAGCGAAAGCAUGGGGAGCGAACAGG
rnacentral:rRNA from 1 species